rnacentral:rRNA from 1 species
AUUAGGGUAGGCUAAGAUAAUACAUGCAAGUCGAACGAGCUUCCGUUGAAUGACGUGCUUGCACUGAUUUCAACAAUGAAGCGAGUGGCGAACUGGUGAGUAACACGUGGGAAAUCUGCCCAGAAGCAGGGGAUAACACUUGGAAACAGGUGCUAAUACCGUAUAACAACAAAAUCCGCAUGGAUUUUGUUUGAAAGGUGGCUUCGGCUAUCACUUCUGGAUGAUCCCGCGGCGUAUUAGUUAGUUGGUGAGGUAAAGGCCCACCAAGACGAUGAUACGUAGCCGACCUGAGAGGGUAAUCGGCCACAUUGGGACUGAGACACGGCCCAAACUCCUACGGGAGGCAGCAGUAGGGAAUCUUCCACAAUGGACGAAAGUCUGAUGGAGCAAUGCCGCGUGAGUGAAGAAGGGUUUCGGCUCGUAAAACUCUGUUGUUAAAGAAGAACACCUUUGAGAGUAACUGUUCAAGGGUUGACGGUAUUUAACCAGAAAGCCACGGCUAACUACGUGCCAGCAGCCGCGGUAAUACGUAGGUGGCAAGCGUUGUCCGGAUUUAUUGGGCGUAAAGCGAGCGCAGGCGGUUUUUUAAGUCUGAUGUGAAAGCCUUCGGCUUAACCGGAGAAGUGCAUCGGAAACUGGGAGACUUGAGUGCAGAAGAGGACAGUGGAACUCCAUGUGUAGCGGUGGAAUGCGUAGAUAUAUGGAAGAACACCAGUGGCGAAGGCGGCUGUCUAGUCUGUAACUGACGCUGAGGCUCGAAAGCAUGGGUAGCGAACAGGAUUAGAUACCCUGGUAGUCCAUGCCGUAAACGAUGAGUGCUAAGUGUUGGAGGGUUUCCGCCCUUCAGUGCUGCAGCUAACGCAUUAAGCACUCCGCCUGGGGAGU